rnacentral:rRNA from 1 species
GGUAACGAAAGGGCUGACCGAACCCGCGAGGGGGAGCGAAUCCCAAAAAGCCGCUCUCAGUUCGGAUUGCAGGCUGCAACUCGCCUGCAUGAAGCCGGAAUCGCUAGUAAUCGCGGAUCAGCAUGCCGCGGUGAAUACGUUCCCGGGCCUU